ensembl:misc_RNA Y_RNA Y RNA
GGUUGGUCUAAAGGUAGUGAGUUAUCUCACUUGAUUGUUCACAGUCAGUUACAGAUUAAACUCCUUGUUCUACCCUUUUCCUCCCUGCACUUGACUGGUCUUAA